CCUACGGGAGGCAGCAGUGGGGAAUAUUGCACAAUGGGGGAAACCCUGAUGCAGCGACGCCGCGUGAGUGAAGAAGUACUUCGUUACGUAAAGCCCUAUCAGUCGGGAAGAAAAUGCCGGUACCUGAGUAAGAAGCACCGGCUAACUACGUGCCAAAAGCCGCGGUAAUACGGAGGGGGCAAGCGUUAUCCGGAUUUACUGGGUGUAAAGGGAGCGUAGACGGUGCGCCAAGUCUGGAGGGAAAUGUCGCAGGUUAACUGCGGAACUGCUUUCGAAACUGGCGACAUAGAGUGCGGGAGGGGUAAGCGGAAUGCCUGGUGUAGCGGUGAAAUGCGUAGAUAUUAGGAGGAACACCGGUGGCGAAGGCGGCAUACUGGAGCGUAACUGACGUUGAGGCUCGAAAGCGUGGGGAGCGAACAGGAUUAGAUACCCUGGUAGUC
rnacentral:rRNA from 1 species